UGGGCACUUAGGCGGCACAAGCCGGACUACCUUGUGUAAGUCCUUAAUUGGAAAUGAAAAUCGACACGGAGUCAUAUAAGUAAUAAUCACUACUAGACAGUUCAUAGUAGUUGGAUUUAUUGGGCAUUUGGACAUGUAGUGUACUUGAUAGUAUUGCUUAUUGCAUUAUAACAUACUUGUUUGCCAUGUUGGGACAUACUAGUCAUGUAUUGGCAUUUCGGACUAUGAUAGAAUAGAUGUACACCAUGUUGACAUCAUGUAUAUUUGUGGCAUUGUAGAUUAGCAUUUAAUUACAUGCUUUACAUAUCGCAGCUUACUAGUAGUUCUUUUAUCUGCUUACGCUUUUGGGCCUAGUGGUGCAUUUUGCUCAGAUCAGUAAUUGCCCACUGAGAACCAUAAAUUAUAGUUCUCACGCCUCCUAUUUUAUGUUUUCUUUCAAAGCCUUCCACUCCUGGAGAGGCUAGGGACCGCGGCAAGGGUGUCGCUUCGAGCUAGCGAGCGAGGAGAGUCUUGCUAGAUUGAUCAUUUUCUCCUUUUAUUCUAGUUGGAGAGGAUGAGAGUGUCUUGUACCCAGUUUAGAGACCACCAUUUUACAUCGUGUUAUUACUCGU
rnacentral:lncRNA from 1 species